CAAUGUGAUUUCUCUGGUAAGUUUCGGCUUGUUAGGGGAGUCAACACACAGCAUUGAUCGGUGCAGCGUUACAAACUUUAGUGUUUAGUAGUAUCAAUGUUGUAUAGAGAGCAAUCUUUAUACAACUUCACAGCCUAGGAUGCAAGUCCCAUUGACUUGGGCUUAUCUUUCAAUUGAGAUGACUAUAAUAUUGGGGCAACUUGGUAUUAUGGUUGAGCCAUAGAGGGUGAAAGUCCCUUAACGUCCAGGUAUUGAUACUACGAACUAGAGAGCCAGCAAUGGCAAUUUGUUAGAGUCGGGUUGCUUGAGAGUGCAACCUAAAGAGCGAGGUAAACUGCUCGUAAGGCUAUUUGAAAUAUCGCUAUGACACCGAUAGCAAACAAGUACCGUGAGGGAAAGUUGCAAAGUACUUUGAAGAGAGAGUUAAACAGGGCGUGAAACCGCUAGCUGGUAAACGAGUGGAGCCACGAAGUCGUUUCGUAGAACAAAGCGCACAGAUUCAGUUUAUGUAAUUCCUGAAAUAUGCGAAUUGCAUAGAUGCAUUUCUGUUUGUGCUUCUAUGUAUGCGUACACUGCAACCAAUUAGACGAUCAAUUGUGGAAACAGUUAGUCGAAAUAUGCAGCAAUGUAUGUAUCAAUUAACGAAAUGUUUAUAUAUUCCAUGUAGGUAGCCUGGUAGGACACUUGUUGUUCUAUUGGGUGUCUGACGUGCGCAAUAUGAGAACUACAAUUGAAUACUGAUUGGCACAAAGAAAAUCCAUUCGCAAGAAUGGUUUUUAGAUAACACUACUUAUUUUGUAUAUGUGUACAAGUAUUUAUUACUGGUGUAAGCUUAGUAGUUUUAAAUUUAGACUAUCUGGCUAUCUAGGGUUUCGGCCUUGGAUGCUUGUUUAGCUUUCUAUCUAAUUGGCUGCUGACUUCACUUUUAAUUUUGUGCUUGCUAUGUUAGCAUGUAUGCAAAAAUAGGCAAGUCAUCUUAUUGGCAGUGAGUAGGUCGGCUUUCCACACGACCC
rnacentral:rRNA from 1 species